CAAUAGCGUAUAUUAAAGUUGUUGCAGUUAAAAAGCUCGUAGUUGGAUUUCUGGUGGGAGCGAUCGGUCUGGCGCUUAGCGCGAGUACUUGCAUCGUCUCCGGCCAUCCUUGGGGAGAGUCUGUCUGGCAUUAGGUUGUCGGGCAGAGGAUCCUCAUCGUUUACUGGGAAAAAAUUAGAGUGUUCAAAGCAGGCUUAUGCCGUUGAAUAUAUUAGCAUGGAAUAAUAAGAUAGGACUUUGGUACUAUUUUGUUGGUUUGCGCACCAAAGUAAUGAUUAAUAGGGACAGUUGGGGGUAUUCGUAUUCCGUUGUCAGAGGUGAAAUUCUUGGAUUUACGGAAGACGAACUACUGCGAAAGCAUUUACCAAGGAUGUUUUCAUUAA
rnacentral:rRNA from 1 species